rnacentral:rRNA from 1 species
UACGGAGGGUGCAAGCGUUAAUCGGAAUUACUGGGCGUAAAGCGCGCGUAGGCGGUUUAGUAAGUCGGAUGUGAAAUCCCCGGGCUCAACCUGGGAAUUGCAUUCGAUACUGCUGAACUAGAGUAUGGUAGAGGGAAGUGGAAUUCCGGGUGUAGCGGUGAAAUGCGUAGAUAUCCGGAGGAACAUCAGUGGCGAAGGCGACUUCCUGGACCAAUACUGACGCUGAGGUGCGAAAGCGUGGGGAGCAAACAGG